UUUAGUAAAUUAAAUUUUGUUUUGUAAAAUUUCAUUUAUGGUUAAGUUAUUUUCUUAAUAAGUUUAUUACCUUAAUCCAUUAUUUACAAAAUUACAGGAUAAAUUUGUCUUGGAUUUGAGUGUUCCGUACAUUUCCCAUGCCGUCGACGACAUGAUCAAGGAGCGGUUUAAGGAGUACCGCAGUGAUUUACACCAGCGGUACAAGCGGUGCAGGAGCCUCGAGGAGGCCGUAUUGACCGCACCGCUGCACGUGACCAUUGACGAUUGGCGGAUACUCUGUGAGAGAUUUUCGUCUGAGUCUUUUUAGAAGAGGAGCAAAAUAAAUUCUGCGAACAGGGAAAAGUUGGAAGUGAACCACAUAGCUGGUUCAAAGUCAUUUGUACAACUUCGUCGCGACAUACGAGAUUCCGUCACUGGACAGGAGCCCGGACCAGUAGACUUCUACAGAGAGACUCAUUGUCGGCAGGUGACGGGAUUUUGGGUACAUCCUACAGCCAGCGAGAAUUGGGU